AAACCCUGAUGCAGCGACGCCGCGUGAGGGAUGAAGGCCUUCGGGUUGUAAACCUCUUUCAGCAGGGAAGAAGCGCAAGUGACGGUACCUGCAGAAGAAGCGCCGGCUAACUACGUGCCAGCAGCCGCGGUAAUACGUAGGGCGCAAGCGUUGUCCGGAAUUAUUGGGCGUAAAGAGCUCGUAGGCGGUUUGUCGCGUCUGGUGUGAAAACUCGAGGCUCAACCUCGAGCUUGCAUCGGGUACGGGCAGACUAGAGUGCGGUAGGGGAGACUGGAAUUCCUGGUGUAGCGGUGGAAUGCGCAGAUAUCAGGAGGAACACCGAUGGCGAAGGCAGGUCUCUGGGCCGCAACUGACGCUGAGGAGCGAAAGCAUGGGGAGCGAACAGGAUUAGAUACCCUGGUAGUCCAUGCCGUAAACGUUGGGCACUAGGUGUGGGGCUCAUUCCACGAGUUCCGUGCCGCAGCAAACGCAUUAAGUGCCCCGCCUGGGGAGUACGGCCGCAAGGCUAAAACUCAAAGGAUUGGACGGGG
rnacentral:rRNA from 1 species